CUAUUUUCCUUAGUAACUCAGGUCUUGCCCUUUAAUUUUUAUGAAUAGGGUUAUUGAAUAGAAAGCAAACAUAUCUGGGCUUUGCACAACAAAUGCAAAGGUGUGGCUGUUGCUCCCCUGUUUUCCAGUCUGAGGCCAAAUCCUGACAACUUCACAUAUAGACAUGGCUUUAUCUAUGCUGAAGCUCUCUGAGUGAAAUAGGCUCUCAUGACAGACUAGGAUGGCACACGUGUAUUGUGGUUGAUAAGGUAGGGACCAAAUACUUGAUGUGUGUGAUAGAUUGGCACAAUGUUACAGGGUAAAAGGAGAAGAAGAGAAAAUGUGGGGGCAUAUCUUUGAAAGCAUUUUCCUAUUGCAGAAGACCCCAGUACAAAGGCUUAUUCCCUCUCCCCCUACAGUUCCCAGCCAGGUACCUGGGCGCGUCUUAGCACCCCAGAUUUUUGUGCGUUGAGUACAACUGCCUUGCUGUGACACCACGGCAGGCUGUCUCUCAUCAGCCCCUGCUGUGAUACUCCUAACGCUUUCACUCCAGGGAGUGCUUCCCUGCUUGAUGCUGCUAGCAGAUUAAAGCUGUUCUAAUUUCCCAUCCUAAGCCAAAUAGAUGCAUAAGCAAGCUGUUGGAUUGUUUCACUACGAGUGCCAUACACCAUCAGCCUGCUUCCCGCUCCCCCCACCUCAGCACUCAUAAUGGUGGACAUCUGCAAGUAGAAUGUGGGGUGGAGGCCAGAGGACAUGGUUUUCUCCCUCUGCAUGCUGCAAUGCAGUGAACACGAGCCCAUGCUAAAUCCCAAAUGCCUGGCUACUUUCUGCAGAGCAUGAAUGGCCUUUCAAACCACCACUGGUCCCCAGCUCCCCAUCCAUGCUGUCUGUCCAAGAAGACUCUUUUAUGCCAAAACUACAGGCUCAACCCUUCCUUGGAAGGCAAAUGUUUUUACUGCACAGGUGUCCACUACAAGCUGUAUACAGUGUUUUCUACCCAAAGUUGUCUCAUAUACACCCAAUUCUGAAGGCAAAGGAAAUCCAUCAAAUCAAAUCCAAGAU
rnacentral:lncRNA from 1 species